CAAACAGCCUCAGAACAAACAGCCCAGAGAUCUGGAGACUGGAGCCCUCUCUGGCCCUGGGACAUCCAUAUUUGGAACUGGCACCCUUUCCUGUUACUGUUAAGCUUGGCAGCAAAGCAUUGCAUGAAGGCUAGUACCAUUGGUUACCACUGCUUGGAUCUGUUUUAUCCACUGCUGCUCCUGCAUCUUCCUGUUCAACUGCCAACAGCUAAAAGGACCUGUGGAUUCCAGGGAAACCCUGUUCUACACUGAGACGUGUUUUAAGUCUCAGAAGGACUUGACAAGGCACAGGGCACAGAAAGGUAAUCUAGCUUCACUCUACUGGAAGUGGCAUGAGUUUGAAGAGUUAAGAGGUCAAUUUUGUGGAGGACAUAGAGAGGCAGGGACAGAAACUGAAACUCCUUCAGCUGUCAGGGAGCAGAAGGGACCAGGAUGGGAGGGGGAGUGUGCAGAGGACGAGCUGUGAGAUCCAUCAGACGGAUCUUGCCCGGCUGUGCCUCUCCCAGAUAAUCGCCUUAAAAACUGAACUGUCCAUUCACAUUUAGAGGGAGAGGAAUGGAUCAGACAGGAGACAGGAGAAGAGAACAUAGAGUCAGUCAUUCCUGGAGGACACAUUUCCAGGCAAGAGCCACUUGACGUUGACCUUGAGAACAGAGCCAGGCUCAGCGCAUCACUGAGGAAGAUGAGAACCCUGCAGGGAGCAGCCGGCCAGAAGGCGCAGCAGCAUGAAAUCCAGCCCCAGCCCCGGUCGCUGCAUUCCCAGAGCCCCCAACCCUUCCUGAGGGCAGGAAUCUACAGAGGGAGCCCACGCCCCAGCCUCUGGGGAACAGCCUGCCAAAGAGACAGUUCUUUUCCCUCCCAAACCUGCCACUCAGGUCUUUCUCACCUCAUUGUGACUUUC